UGGGAAAUCUUGCGCAAUGGCCGAAAGGCUGACGCAGCGACGCCGCGUGUGGGAGGAAGCUCUUCGGGGUGUAAACCACUGUUGCCCGGGACGAAUGAUGAGCAUUUGCUCAUUUGACGGUACCGGGUGAGGAAGCACCGGCUAACUCUGUGCCAGCAGCCGCGGUAAUACAGAGGGUGCGAGCGUUGUCCGGAAUCACUGGGCGUAAAGGGCGCGUAGGCGGCUCGAUAAGGUUGCGGUGAAAGCCCGGGGCUCAACCCCGGGUCGGCCGUGGCAACUGUCGAGCUGGAGCACUGUAGAGGCAGGUGGAAUUCCGGGUGUAGCGGUGGAAUGCGUAGAGAUCCGGAAGAACACCGGUGGCGAAGGCGGCCUGCUGGGCAGUGGCUGACGCUGAGGCGCGACAGCGUGGGGAGCAAAC
rnacentral:rRNA from 1 species